UCUUUAGAGUCCUGGUUCUUCCUGUCUUACUGUAUGGUUGGGAGACUUGGACACUAACAAGUGACAUAAGGUGAUGACCGGAUGUCUUUGGUAUUUGGUAUCUUCCAAUGAUCUUUGGGUAAUGCUG